UUGUCUUCUCUCCCCCACACCCUCCCCCCCACCCCGAUUUCCUCUGUGCUUCAGCAAGAAUGUUAUUGAGAAGAAUCUAUUCGAGAAGAAAUAUCAGAUUCCAUGACCCUUUUCUCCUACAUACUUCAGAGUGGCCCAGGAACUUGGACAUUCUCUAACAUAACCGCAGUGAUCAAAAUCAGGAACAUUUAAACAUGGAUUUAAUAUUAUACACUCUCUAUGCAGAAUAUCACUAACUGGUCCAGUAAUAUCCUUUAUAGCAAUCAUUUUUUUUGUUCAGUUUUUUUAAUGUUUAUUCAUUUUUGAGAGACAGAGAGAGACAGAGUGCAAGCAGGGGUAGGGCAGAGACAGAGAAGGAGACACAGAAUCCAAAGCUGGCUUCAGGCUCUGAACUGUCAGCACAAAGCCCAACGUGGGGCUUGAACUCACGAACCGUGAGCUCAUGACCGGAGCCUAGGCCGGACCCUUAACUGAUAGCCACCCAGGUGCUCCAGCAAUCACCUUUUUUAAAGUGUAUUUAUUUAUUUAUUUAUUGGGGGGGAGGGGCAGAGAGAGAGGGCGACAGAGAAUCCAAAGCAGGCACAGUGCAGUGGGGCUCGAUCUCAUGAACUGUGAGAUCAUGAGCUGGGCUGAAAUCAAGAGUUGGCCGCUCAACUGACUGAACCAGCUGGGUGCCCCUCCAGCAAUCACUUUUUAAAUUUCCCAUACGGCAUCAUGCCCUCAAACCAUGGUUCUUUAUGCUUCUUUAAUCGGGACCCAUUCCUCAGCCUUUCUUCAUCUUUCAAGAUACAAAGAGUCCAGGUCCGAUGUUUGAUGGACUCUACCUCAGUUUUGGCUUUUCUGAUGUUUUCUCAUGAUUAGAUUCAGGAAGUUCAGUUUUGGUUUUUUUUUUAAUUUUUGAUGUUUAUUUAUUUUUGAGAGAGACAGAGACAGAAUGCGAGUGGGCUGGGGCAGAGAGAGAGGGAGGCACAGAAUCUGAAACAGGCUCCAGGCUCUGAGCUGUCAGCACAGAGCCUGAUGCGGGUCUCGAACUCAUGAGCUGUGAGAUCAUGACCUGAGCUGAAGUCAGUCGCUCAACUGACUGAGCCACCCAGGCGCCCCAGGAAGUUCAGUUUUGGAUGAAGGACUACCUGACUGAUGAGUGUCCUCAGCGUGCCACCUUAGGAGGCCUUAGGUGCCAGUCUGUCUCAUUAUAGGUGAGAACUAUGAUCAGUUGGUUAAGGUGGCAUGCCACAGGUUUUUCUAUGAAGUUACCAUUUUCUACUUUUGUAAUUAAUGAGGAGUCUUAUUAACUAGGGGGAUAAUUGGAGACUGUAUAGAUAAGCUGGGAACCUUUAUCAAGGAAGGAUCAAGCUGACACUGGAACCAAGUGAUAACAUCACAAAGACGAUGUCUGGAUAGCAGCAGUUUACAGAAGAAAGAGUCUGAGGGGACAUGUUAACAUCAUGAAGAUACAAGAUGAUAUCACGAAGAUACAAGUAGCCAAACCCAGUCUGGGGGACAGACAGGAAGGACUUGUAACAGCUCACAGAAGCGUGUGGACCUUCCAUCUCGAUUCCAACAACACCAACUGCAGAAACACACUUUGAGACAUUCCCGGGGAACUGAACACAGACUGGGUAUUAGAUGAUACUGGCAAAGAGAAAAGCAGCCCCUGACAUCCAGGAGCAGCCCCGGGACCAUCAGCGAGGCCUGUGUGUUCUAUUGAACACGAACGAUGUCACAGAACAGUAACAGCAGACACGGCCACUCUGACCACGGCAUACGAAGACACAACAGGGCUGUUCUGUAGUCAUGUCUGAACACAGAACAUUAUCUAAGCCUCAGAAAUGACUCAGUGUCCCCCCUUUCUGGCCAAAAUGAACAACGCUGCUUCCUUAUCAAUUACAGCUUCACCCCUGGUUUAUUUUCCCUCCUUCUUGGUAAGCUUUACUAAUAAAUUCGAUUGCAAAAUUGC